rnacentral:rRNA from 1 species
CCUACUGGUGGCUGCAGUGAGGAAUAUUGGUCAAUGGACGAGAGUCUGAACCAGCCAAGUAGCGUGAAGGAUGACUGCCCUAUGGGUUGUAAACUUCUUUUAUAUGGGAAUAAAAUGUUCCAUGUGUGGGAUUUUGUAUGUAACAUAUGAAUAAGGAUCGGCUAACUUCGUGCCAGCAGCCGCGUUAAUACGGAGGAUCCGAGCUUUAACCGGAUUUAUUGGGGUUAAAGAGAGCGUAGGUGGAUUGUUAAGUCCGGUGUGAAAGUUUGCGGCUCAACCGUAAAAUUGCAGUUGAAACUGGCAGUCUUGAGUACAGUAGAGGUGGGCAGAAUUCGUGGUGUAGCGGUGAAAUGCUUAGAUAUCACGAAGAACACCGAUUGCGAAGGCAGCUCACUGGACUGCAACUGACACUGAGGCUCGAAAGUGUGGGUAUCAAACAGGAUUAGAUACCCGUGUAGUC